UGGGUUAUUUAGUAUAAGAUGGUCUGACCUCACCACCCACCCCCUAUAACGUCUCCCUCCCAUAACCCUUCUCCCAGAAACCCUAGUAGCCGCCCUCAUAUCCCCAGCGCCGGUGAUGGCGGUGCCAUCACAACAGCCACCAGAUUAACACCCAAAACCCCCUUCUCAUCCUCUAUCAAAAUCCAUAAGCCAUCUCCCUCAAACAUCAACCAAACCCGUCGAUUCUUCGACUAAAGUUUUUCCAGUCAUGACACAACUCCAUCCAAACAUCCCCAAAUUAACACUGUAUAACCGCCUUCAUCUCCUCUAUCGAACCCCAAAUCUCGUUCCUUGAAUGUGGCUAGAACUGUUCGAAUAUAAAUUUGAAACUUUCCAGCCAAAACCCUAAUUACCCCGAAUUAAUCCAAAUUAAUAUCAUAGGGUCCCUAGGCUUCCCUCAUGAGAAAAUCAAUGUCAGUAACACUUAAUUUCCACUGUAAAUGGUUAGAUUGAGAGUUUGAGAAUUCGCCGGAUUUCUUUUUCAGUGAGUUUCUUUUCAUUUUUGUUCUUGUUUUAUUUAGUCUUAUUAGUUUGAUUCGUAUUUUUGCUGAUAAUUAAGUGUCAUUUUAAUUUCUGUAUGAUUUUAGUUGUUAGUUUAAGUUUAUAUCAAUCUAAUUGAUGGUUCACUUCUGAUAGAAGAAAUGUUUAGGUAUAACUUUGAUUUGAAUCAAUUUUGUCCUCGUAGUUUAAUUGUCUAGGUUAAUUAUUGUUUUUAAAUUUUUCAAUUCUGUUUUGUUUUCAUGUUCUGACUGACUGCUUAAUUUUAGUUCGUUUUAGUGUGAUUGGAAUUUAUUCUGUUUAAUUCAGUAUUGGUUAUAUUCUUCAAGUUGUUUUGGUUUUAGUUUAGAUUCCAUUUUGAACCUUUAAUUAGUUUAAUACUAGUUUAGAUUUAAGGGAGGUUAUAGUUGUCAGCUUUAAUUAGCAUUAAGGGGAUUGGGGUCAGUUAACUGAGGGUAGAUUAGUAAUAAAGCAGGGGUAAUUUAGGAAUUCAAAAUGGGAUAGAAUGUUGUGGUUAAUACUAGAACCUUCUAGAUUAGGAUUUUGGUUUCAAUAUCACAAAGUUAGGUUGUUUUCUUGGAACACAAGUUAAUAUGUGAGGGACUAAUAUGUAAAACUAGAAAAUCUGAAAUUAUAUCUCAUGUUGCCUAUAAAAGGCAGCCCCAAUGCCUUGAAUCACAAGUUUCGAAGCCAAAAAACUCUCUCUAAUCUCCAGAUUUGAUUUUGAAAUUCAAGAAACAAAACCCCAAAAAACAAUAGAAAACCUCUAGAAAAACAAAAAAAAAAUUCAGGAAGUACUGUUCCAUUGAAAAUUGACAGUUAGUUUUGAACUUCAGCUUCUGAAUUGCAUCAAUUAGUCUUAAUCUGUUUGCUGAUACAUUCUGGUGGUGCAUGGGUGUGUUUCGAGUGGAUCUUGGUCCUAUGAGGGCUAUUUUGGGCUGGUUUUGUUAAGUUGUUGGUCUCAGAAGUGGUUUUAGGAUUGGUAUUGUGUCUAUUUGAGUUUUUACAAGUGUAUUUGGUUCACUAUUGGUUUUAAUCAUCUUUGACUGAUUCCUGGGCUGAUUGAAUACCGAUUCUGUUGAUGUGGUUUGUUGUAUAAACUUCUGCUGAUACUCUCUUCUUCUUCUUAUGUUUCUAAUCUCCAGGUACACGUUUCCGCCUAUUUUGAUGUUAUUCUCCCAUGAAAUGGAAAUGCAAAG
rnacentral:lncRNA from 1 species